rnacentral:rRNA from 1 species
UAGGGAAUCUUCCACAAUGGACGAAAGUCUGAUGGAGCAACGCCGCGUGAGUGAAGAAGGGUUUCGGCUCGUAAAGCUCUGUUGGUAGUGAAGAAAGAUAGAGGUAGUUAACUGGCCUUUAUUUGACGGUAAUUACUUAGAAAGUCACGGCUAACUACGUGCC